GAACUUGGGGGGCUUGCUAUACAUGCAAGUCGAGCGAAUGGAUUAAGAGCUUGCUCUUAUGAAGUUAGCGGCGGACGGGUGAGUAACACGUGGGUAACCUGCCCAUAAGACUGGGAUAACUCCGGGAAACCGGGGCUAAUACCGGAUAACAUUUUGAACCGCAUGGUUCGAAAUUGAAAGGCGGCUUCGGCUGUCACUUAUGGAUGGACCCGCGUCGCAUUAGUCUAGGCUCUGGUGACGGUCAGCGGCUCAGGCAAGGCCACCGAUGCGUGAGCCGACCUGAGAGUGUGAUCGGUCACACUGGGACUGAGAUCUUGGCUCAGAGCUCGCUACGGGAGGCAUGUCAGUCAGGGUAUCUUCCGCAAUUGACGAAAGUACUGACGGAGCUACGUCCGCGUGGAGUGAUGAAUGCUUUCCGGUUCGUAAUACUGCUGUUGUUAGGGACGAACCAGUGCUAGUUGAAUAAGCUGGCACCUUGACGGUACCUAACCAGAAAGCCACGGCUAACUACGUGCCAGCAGUCGCGGUAAUACGUAGGUGGCAAGCGUUAUCCGGAAUUAUUGGGCGUAAAGCGCGCGCCAGGUUGUUUUCUUAAGUGUGAUGUGAAAGCCCACGGCUCAACCGUGGAGGGUCAUUGGAAACUGGGAGACUUGAGUGCAGAAGAGGAAAGUGGAAUUCCAUGUGUAGCGGUGAAAUGCGUAGAGAUAUGGAGGAACACCAGUGGCGAAGGCGACUUUCUGGUCUGUAACUGACAGUGAGGCGCGAAAGCGUGGGGGAGCAAACAGGAUUAGAUACCCUGGUAGUCCACGCCGUAAACGAUGAGUGCUAAGUGUUAGAGGGUUUGCUCGCCCUUUAGUGCUGAGGUUAACUCAAUUAAGCAACUCCGCCUGGGGAGUGGGAGCCGCGGGGCCUGAGACUCAAAGGAAUUGACGGAAUGGGCCGCGGGCACACGCUGUUGGAGCAUGAUGGUUGUGAUUUGAAUUCACCACGCGAAGAACCAUUACCCGGCGGGGGCUCGGUUGUCAUCCUCUGACAUACCCUAGAGUUAGUGGCUUCUCGCUUCAGAGGAGACAGAGUGACCAGGUGGUGCUUGGUUGUUGUCCAGCUCGUGAUCGAUGAGGUGUUGGGUUAAGUCCCGCAACGAGGGCGAGCUUUGGCUUUUAGUUGCCUUCACUUUAGUUGAGAGCAUUCUCCAGGUGACCCGGCGUGACAAACCGUGAGGAAGGUGGGGAUGACGUCAAGUCAUCAUGCCCCUUAUGACCUGGGCUACACACGUUGCCUACAAUGGACGGUACCAAGAGCUGCAAGACCGCGAGGUGGAGGUAAUUUCAUAAAACCGUUCUCAGUUCGGAUUGUAGGCUGCAACUUGCCUACAUGAAGCUGGAAUCGCUAGUAAUCGCGGAUCAGCAUGCCGCUGUGAACACGUUCCCCGGCCUUCCCACACCGCCCCUCCCACCCCGAGAGUUUGUAACACCCGCAGUCGGUGGGGUAACCUUCUGGAGCCAGCCGCUUAACCGGGAUCCCAUGU
rnacentral:rRNA from 1 species